CUUGGAGCUAGAACAGAGACAUGCACAUGAUUAUACAGGGGCAGGGGCUCAAGUUUUUUCCAGUCGUUUAUACAAUAUGGAAAUUAAUGUGAAAUUAAAACACAAAGUAUUAAUAGAAAGGUAAUGACUGUCCUGUGUAGGUGGCAGUGAUAUCCAAUAGGCUAGGCACUCACGAGGCUGGCUGUGGCAAGUGUAAGUGAAAGCAACACGCACUGGCAGGAAGAACAGCAAACGCCGAUGAAGGAAAAGGGUCUUUGCAGUGAUGGGUGUUACCAGAGAGGGCGAUGGCCAGAGGACACAAAUGGGACGGGGAGGCAGCACGUUGGGGGGGGGGGGGGGGAGACGCGACACGGCUCGGGCCCGCCAGUGCCCCAACGGGGUCCUAGUUAUUAUUUUUCCUCCCCUUUAAACUGGAAAAUGGCCCACUUCCCACUGGCGAAAACUCAUGAAAUUUGGCAGGACGACCGGGCCUGGUGAAAAAUUCGAUAUUUUGUAGUCGCCCAAACAAUAAAAUGCAAAAUGGCUCCAUAGCGCCCCCUAAGGUGGAAAUUCACACUAUUGACUGUCACGUCUGUACGUUUUGUCAUAUUGACACAAAAAUUGACACACAUAUGUAUCUCAAUAAGAUCUACAAAAAAGUCAGUGCGGGCGUAUCUGUCAAAUGUACGGUUAAAGGGUUAUUUCGCAUUUUUUGCCGAUCCGCACACAUUGGAAUUUCGCUAACUCCUCCGAAGGCUUUCGUUCCACCGGCACCACAUUUGCUCAGGCCAGUCUACACCCCAUGGCCAUUAAAAGUUGUACAAAUCAUGACGCUGCACCCCACGGUUUAGGUUCUAGGGGGCGCCAAAGAUAACCCAAAAAUCCACAUUCUUAAAAGUCUUAUAACUUUUUAUUUUUGUCCUCACUGCCCUCCAAGUUUUCUAGGAUGAUGCAAUGUCCAGCCAUCAACACAUUUGUGAAGGAAUUUUUACUCCCCAAAAGAGCGCCCCCCCAUGGCAGGAGAAAAAAGUCAAUUUUUUCUUGUCCCCUUACAUGAAAAUACACAUUGUUGAGUGUCACGCCUGAACGCUAUGUCAUAUUGACACAAAAAUUGACACACAUAUGUAUCUCAAUAAGAUCUACAAAAGAGUCGAUUCGCGCGUAUCUGUCAAAUGUACGGUUAAAGGGCUAUUUUGCAUUUUUUGCCGAUUCGCACACAUUGGAAUGUGGCUAACUCCUCCUAAGGCUUUCGUCCCACUGACACCAAAUUUGCUCAGGCCAAUCUACACCCCAUGGCCAUUCAAAGUUGUAAAAAUCAUGACGCUGCACCCCACGGUUUACGUUCUAGGGGGCGCCAAAGAUGACCCAAAAAUCCACAUUCUUCAAAGAAUCCACAUCCCCCCCCCCCCCCCCCAUAUGGCAGGAGAAAAAGUUAAGUUUUUCCUGCCCAUCGCUCAAUGGCUCAAUCGCAUCGCUCUCCAGGCAACACCGUAAGGAGGAGCAACCUGCCAUUUCGAUAUAUCAUAGCUGUGUUUGUGCCCUCACUCAUGGUCCAGACUUUUUUCAAAUAGGACAUGAAGUUUGUCUGCAGCGAGUGUUUUGGUAGAAACUGCGCCUCCCAUUCAUUAUAAUAGGAAAUGACCACAGACAAGUGCGCACACCAUCUUUGGAUCUUGAGUGUGACGCGAUCGGGAGGGGGAGGCGGUCGCACUGGGGGCGGCGCGACACGGCUCGGGCCCGACAGUGCCCCAACGGGGUCCUAGUUAGGGCCCGAGCGUAGCUGCUAAGCAGCUGCGAGAGCCCUCUUGUUCCUGUAGUUUCCUUCUUUUGUUAUUAGGGCCCGAGCGUAGCUGCUAAGCAGCUGCGAGAGCCCUCUUGUUCCUGAUGGAUUCUUCUUUUGUUAUUAUUAGGGCCCGAGCGUAGCUGCUAAGCAGCUGCGAGAGCCCUCUUGUUCCUGUAGUUUCCUUCUUUUGUUAUUAUUAGGGCCCGAGCCAGCUGCAGAGCAGCCGGGCGUAGGCCCUAUUAUUCCCCAAGUGGUUUUUUAGGGCCCGAGCGUAGCUGCUAAGCAGCUGCGAGAGCCCUAUUAUUCCCCAAGUGGUUUUUCUUUGUUUCUUUUUUCUUUUUCCUCCCCUUUGAACUGGAAAAUGGCCCACUUCCCACUGGCGAAAACUCAUGAAAUUUGGCAGGACGACCGGGCCUGGUGAAAAAUUCGAUAUUCUGAAGUCGCCCAAACAAUAAAAUGCAAAAUGGCUCCAUAGCGCCCCCUAAGGUGAAAAUUCACAUGACGGCUGUACGCUUUGUCAUAUUGACACAAAAAUUGACACACAUAUGUAUCUCAAUAAGAUCUACAAAAAAGUCAGUGCGGGCGUAUUUGUCAAAUGUACGGUUAAAGGGUUAUUUCGCAUUUUUUGCCGAUCCGCACACAUUGGAAUUUCGCUAACUCCUCCGAAGGCUUUCGUUCCACCGGCACCACAUUUGCUCAGGCCAAUCUACACCCCAUGGCCAUUAAAAGUUAUUCAAAUCAUGACGCUGCACCCCACGGUUUAGGUUCUAGGGGGCGCCAAAAAUAACCCUAAAAUCCACAUAUUUAAAAGUCUUAUAACUUUUUAUUUUUGUCCUCACUGGCCUCCAAGUUUUCUAGGAUGAUGCAAUGUCCAGCCAUCAACACAUCUGUGAAGGAAUUUUUACUCGCCAAAAGAGCGCCCCCCCAUGGCAGGAGAAAAAAGUCCAUUUUUUAUUGUCCCCUAAGGUGAAAAUACACAUUGUAGAGUGUCACGCCUGUACGCUUUGGCAAAAUGACACAAAAAUUGACACACACAUGUAUCUCAAUAAGAUCUACAAAAAGUCCAUGCGCGCGUAUCUGUCAAAUGUACGGUUAAAGGGUUAUUCCGCAUUUUUUGCCGAUACGCACACAUUGGAAUUUCGCUAACUCCUCCGAAGGCUUUCGUUCCACCGGCACCACAUUUGCUCAGGCCAAUCUACACCCCAUGGCCAUUAAAAGUUAUUCAAAUCAUGAUGCUGCACCCCAUGGUUUAGGUUCUAGGGGGCGCCAAAAAUAACCCAAAAAUCCACAUUCUUAAAUGUUUUAUAACUUUUUUUUUUUGUCCUCACUGGCCUCCAAGUUUUCUAGGAUGAUGCAAUGUCCAGCCAUCAACACAUUUGUGAAGGAAUUUUUACUCCCCAAAAGAGCGCCCCCCCCAUGGUAGGAGAAAAAAGUCAAUUUUUUCUUGUCCCCUUACAUGAAAAUACACAUUGUUGAGUGUCACGCCUGAACGCUAUGUCAUAUUGACACAAAAAUUGACAAUCAUGUGUAUCUCAAUUAGAUCUACGAAAAAGUCAAAGAGCGCGUAUCUGUAUAAUGUACGGUUAAAGGGCUAUUUUGCAUUUUUUGCCGAUUCGCACACAUUGGAAUGUGGCUAUCUCCUCCUAAGGCUUUCGUCCCACCGAUACCAAAUUUGCUCAGGGCAAUCUACACCCCAUGCCCAUUCAAAGUUGUAAAAAUCAUGACGCUGCACCCCACGGUUUACGUUCUAGGGGGCGCCAAAGAUGACCCAAAAAUCCACAUUCUUAAAAGUCAUUUUGGCCACUGCAGGAGUACAGAGUACUGCAGUUCUAGGGGGCGCCAAAGAUGACCCAAAAAUCCACAUUCUUAAAAGUCUUUUUGGCCACUGCAAGAGUACAGAGUACUGCAGGAUACACACACAUAUACACACACGCCAACAUACACACACACACACACACACAUACACACACACACACACACACACACACACACUCAGAGUCUGUUUUUUAGCACCUGCAAAAACAUGCUGUUUACAUAUUUGACAAGAAUGCAGAGGCUUCCUUUUGCCCCUGAAAAAAAUCAAAUUUCAAACACAACUUGACUGUUCAUUUCUCCAAAAGACAACCAUGAAGCUCCAUCCAAACCUGAAGCAGAUAGUUGGUGCAUGUGUACAGUAACCUGAGGGGAGUGAGGUGACUAUUUCUGAGGAGAACAUGAGCAGUGAAGAUUCACCUUGGAGCUCGAACAGGGACGUGCACAUGAUUAUACAGGGGCAGGGGCUCAAGUUUUUUCCAGUCAUUUAUACAAUAUGGAAAUUAAUGUGAAAUUAAACCACAAAUAUGUGUGAUGAACUGUUUUUAAAACUUAAACUUCAAAUAAAAAUUGUAAACUUCAAAACAUAUGCAAAUUUUUAACAAAGAACAUAGUGAUUUACCUCUAUUUACAUCAAAAUGCAGGCAAUGGCCCAGGCGUUCUUUGUAAAAUUAUUUACAAAACACUGUAUAGUCUCACAAAUGUCACUUUUUAUUUAUGCCACUACAAAAAAACAUGAUGUAAAUGAUGCAUGAUGUAAAACAUGAUGUAAAAAACUUGUGUAGAUCCUCCUCUAUGUCAGUCCAUGUGUAAUUUUUCCAUAAUUCUUUGUUUUUUGCAGCAUUUUUGUUAGUGUAGCUGCAGAUUGUGCUGACAGUGUCUAUGGCACAAAAAAAAAAAAAAAUUAAAAUGCCUCAACAUGAACCCCUGGUGGUCUCUGAGGGUGAAACCUGCUAACUGCUGCAGCUCUGUCAGCUUCAGUCUCCCAUGCAGAGCUCUGAGCGCAUGUGUGGCUCUGCACCCUUAGCAGCGUUGCUAACUCCUCAGUAAGGAAAGCCUGCUUCAUGUCAGAGUCUCUAAACUCCAGAAGAAGUCGAUAAAAGUCCCUUUCUUUCUAAAAAAAAGUCGUUAGGGGGUCUGAAAAGUCAUUGAAUCUAACAACAAAGUCGCUAGGUUUGCAACUACGUGUCCCAGACUGCAUCCCUGCUGAGAGUCCCUCCCUCCCUUCUCAUGUUGCAGGAAGAACGUAAGCGCCCGCCCCUUGUCAAUCAGUCACCAUAUAAUUUUGGAUUGGUUGUUGUGGUGAAGUUUUCCACCAAUAGGAGAGAUGUUGUGGUGUGUUUUUUUUUUCUUUUGGCAAGCCUUUUCCGCCUGUAAGACCUGUCGCUAAUGUCUGCAUGCUAUGUUUUCCUGUCUCAUACAGCGCGAUCGAGCGCCGAACGUGAUCAAAAUAAGCAGAAAAAAAGUAUCGCGGACAUAAUUUAUCAUAACUCUGGUUUUAUUUGGCCUAUCAACACAAUUUAAAAACUGGUAUAUAGGUUGAGGUCCUCACUUUUGAGAUAAGUUGAAACGGAGAGUCAACGAGGCUCCGUCUUGCAGCUACAUCCGGUUAAAUAUGUCAUGUGACUUGAACGCACACACAGACACACACACACACUCAGAGUCUGGUUUUUAGCACCUGCAAAAACAUGCUAUUUACAUAUUUGACAAGAAUGCAGAGGCUCCUUUUGCCCCUGAAAAAAAUCAAAUUUCAAACACAACUUGACUGGUCAUUUCUCCAAAAGACAACCAUGAAGCUCCAUCCAAACCUGAAGCAGGCAGUUGGUGCAUGUGUACAGUAACCUGAGGGGAGUGAGGUGAGUGCUUCUGAGGAGAACAUGAGCAGUGAAGAUUCACCUUGGAGCUAGAACAGAGACAAGCACAUGAUUAUACAGGGGCAGGGGCUCAAGUUUUUUCCAGUCGUUUAUACAAUAUGGAAAUUAAUGUGAAAUUAAAACACAAAGUAUUAAUAGAAAGGUAAUGACUGUCCUGUGUAGGUGACAGUGAUAUCCAAUAGGCUAGGCACUCACGAGGCUGGCUGUGGCAAGUGUAAGUGAAAGCAACACGCACUGGCAGGAAGAACAGCAAACGCCGAUGAAGGAAAAGGGUCUUUGCAGUGAUGGGCGUUACCAGAGAGGGCGAUGGCCAGAGGACACAAAUGGGACGGGAAGGCAGCACGUUGGGGGGGGGGGGAUGCGACACGGCUCGGGCCCGCCAGUGCCCCAACGGGGCCCUAGUCUUUGUUUCUUUCUUUCUUUUUUCUUUUUCCUCCCCUUUGAACUGGAAAAUGGCCCACUUCCCACUGGCGAAAACUCAUGAAAUUUGGCAGGACGACCGGGCCUGGUGAAAAAUUUGAUAUUCUGAAGUCGCCAAAACAAUAAAAUGCAAAAUGGCUCCAUAGCGCCCCCUAAGGUGAAAAUUCACACUAUUCACUGUCACGACUGUACGCUUUGUCAAAAUGACACAAAAAUUGACACACACAUGUAUCUCAAUAAGAUCUACAAAAAAGUCAGUGCGGCCGUAUCUGUCAAAAUUACGGUUAAAGGGUUAUUUCGCAUUUUUUGCCGAUCUGCACACAUUGGAAUUUCGCUAACUCCUCCGAAGGCUUUCGUUCCACCGGCAUCACAUUUGCUCAGGCCAAUCUACACCCCGUGGCCAUUAAAAGUUAUCAAAAUCAUGACGCUGCACCCCAAGGUUUAGGUUCUAGGGGGCGCCAAAGAUAACACUAAAAUCCACAUAUUUAAAAGUCUUAUAACUUUUUAUUUUUGUCCUCACUGGCCUCCAAGUUUUCUAGGAUGAUGCAAUGUCCAGCCAUCAACACAUUUGUGAAGGAAUUUUUACUCCCCAAAAGAGCGCCCCCCCAUGGCAGGAGAAAAAAGUCCAUUUUUUCUUGUCCCCUAAGGUGAAAAUACACAUUGUUGAGUGUCACGCCUAUACGCUUUGUCAAAAUGACACAAAAAUUGACACACACAUGUAACUCAAUAAGAUCUACGAAAAAGUCAAUGCGCGCGUAUCUGUCAAAUGUACGGUUAAAGGGUUAUUCCGCAUUUUUUGCCGAUCCGCACACAUUGGACUGUGGCUAACUCCUCCUAAGGCUUUCGUUCCACCGGCACCACAUUUGCUCAGGCCAAUCUACACCCCAUGGCCAUUAAAAGUUAUUCAAAUCAUGACGCUGCACCCCACGGUUUAGGUUCUAGGGGGCGCCAAAGAUAACCCUAAAAUCCACAUAUUUCAAAGUCUUAUAACUUUUUAUUUUUGUCCUCACUGGCCUCCAAGUUUUCUAGGAUGAUGCAAUGUCCAGCCAUCAACACAUUUGUGAAGGAAUUUUUACUCCCCAAAAGAGCGCCCCCCCAUGGCAGGAGAAAAAAGUCCAUUUUUUCUUGUCCUCUAAGGUGAAAAUACAUAUUGUUGAGAUUCACGCCUAUACGCUUUGUCAUAUUGACACAAAAUUUGACAAUCACGUGCCUUGCCUGGUAUCAUUUUUUUCAGCACAACCUCACCUGUGCGAAUUUACAGUUAUUUUAUCAUGUUGACAUACUGAAUUUACACAAUGGACCCAAAUUCACACACAAAACAUAAAAUCCGAGUGGAAAAAAGUAACAUUUUUACUGUGAAAACCACAAAUAUGUGUGAUGAACUGUUUUUAAAACUUAAACUUCAAAUAAAAAUUGUAAACUUCAAAACAUAUGCAAAUUUUUAACAAAGAACAUAGUGAUUUACCUCUAUUUACAUCAAAAUGCAGGCAAUGGCCCAGGCGUUCUUUGUAAAAUUAUUUACAAAACACUGUAUAGUCUCACAAAUGUCACUUUUUAUUUAUGCCACUACAAAAAAACAUGAUGUAAAUGAUGCAUGAUGUAAAACAUGAUGUAAAAAACUUGUGUAGAUCCUCCUGUAUGUCAGUCCAUGUGUAAUUUUUCCAUAAUUCUUUGUUUUUUGCAGCAUUUUUGUUAGUGUAACUGCAGAUUGUGCUGACAGUGUCUAUGGCACAAAAAAAAAAAAAUUAAAAUGCCUCAACAUGAACCCCUGGUGGUCUCUGAGGGUGAAACCUGCUAACUGCUGCAGCUCUGUCAGCUUCAGUCUCCCAUGCAGAGCUCUGAGCGUAUGUGUGGCUCUGCACCCUUAGCAGCGUUGCUAACUCCUCAGUAAGGAAAGCCUACUUCAUGUCAGAGUCUCUAAACUCCAGAAGAAGUCGAUAAAAGUCCCUUUCUUUCUAAAAAAAAGUCGUUAGGGGGUCUGAAAAGUCAUUGAAUCUAACAACAAAGUCGCUAGGUUUGCAACUACGUGUCCCAGACUGCAUCCCUGCUGAGAGUCCCUCCCUCCCUUCUCAUGUUGCAGGAAGAACGUAAGCCCCCCCCUUGUCAAUCAGUCACCAUAUAAUUUUGGAUUGGUUGUUGUGGUGAAGUUUUCCACCAAUAGGAGAGAUGUUGUGGUGUGUUUUUUUUUUCUUUUGGCAAGCCUUUUCCGCCUGUAAGACCUGUCGCUAAUGUCUGCAUGCUAUGUUUUCCUGUCUCAUACAGCGCGAUCGAGCGCCGAACGUGAUCAAAAUAAGCAGAAAACAAGUAUCGCGGACAUAAUUUAUCAUAACUCUGGUUUGAUUUGGCCUAUCAACACAAUUUAAAAACUAGUAUAUAGGUUGAGGUCCUCACUUUUGAGAUAAAUUGAAACGGAGAGUCAACGAGGCUCCGUCUUGCAGCUACAUCCGGUUAAAUAUGUCAUGUGACUUGAACGCACACACACACACACACACACACACACACAGACACACACACACACGCACACACACACACUCAGAGUCUGGUUUUUAGCACCUGCAAAAACAUGCUAUUUACAUAUUUGACAAGAAUGCAGAGGCUCCUUUUGCCCCUGAAAAAAAUCAAAUUUCAAACACAACUUGACUGGUCAUUUCUCCAAAAGACAACCAUGAAGCUCCAUCCAAACCUGAAGCAGGCAGUUGGUGCAUGUGUACAGUAACCUGAGGGGAGUGAGGUGACUGCUUCUGAGGAGAACAUGAGCAGUGAAGAUUCACCUUAGAGCUAGAACAGAGACGUGCACAUGAUUAUACAGGGGCAGGGGCUCAAGUUUUUUCCAGUCGUUUAUACAAUAUGGAAAUUAAUGUGAAAUUAAAAAACAAAGUAUUAAUAGAAAGGUAAUGACUGUCCUGUGUAGGUGACAGUAAUAUCCAAUAGGCUAGGCACUCACGAGGCUGGCUGUGGCAAGUGUAAGUGAAAGCAACACGCACUGGCAGGAAGAACAGCAAACGCCGAUGAAGGAAAAGGGUCUUUGCAGUGAUGGGCG